AGAGUUUGAUCCUGGCUCAGGGAUGAACGCUAGCUACAGGCUUAACACAUGCAAGUCAGGGGCAUCAGGAUCUGUGCUUGCACAGGUUGCUGGCGACCGGCGCACGGGUGAGUAACGCGUAUCCAACUUCCCCUUAGUAGGGCAUAGCCCGUAGAAAUGCGGAUUAAUACCCUAUGUUUUCCGAUGCAGACAUCUAAUUUGGAAUAAAGGUUUACCGCUAAGGGAUGGGGAUGCGUCCGAUUAGCUUGCCGGCGGGGUAACGGCCCACCGGGGCAACGAUCGGUAGGGGUUCUGAGAGGAAGGUCCCCCACAUUGGAACUGAGACACGGUCCAAACUCCUACGGGAGGCAGCAGUGAGGAAUAUUGGUCAAUGGACGUAAGUCUGAACCAGCCAAGUAGCGUGCAGGACGACGGCCCUAUGGGUUGUAAACUGCUUUUAUGCGGGGAUAAAGUGACGUACGUGUACGUUUUUGUAGGUACCGCAUGAAUAAGGACCGGCUAAUUCCGUGCC
rnacentral:rRNA from 1 species